rnacentral:rRNA from 1 species
UAAGGAAUAUUGCUCAAUGGGAGAAAUCCCGAAGCAGCAACGCCGCGUGGAGGAUGAAGGGUCUAUGACUUGUAAACUCCUGUAAAGAAGGAAAAAAUUCCCAUUUGAUGGGAGCUGAUGGUACUUCUGGAGUAAGCCCCGGCUAACUACGUGCCAGCAGCCGCGGUAAGACGAAGGAUGCAAGCGUUAUCCGGAUUCACUGGGUUUAAAGGGUGCGUAGGUGGGUAUGUAAGUCAGUGGUGAAAUCCCCGAGCUUAACUUGGGAACUGCCAUUGAUACUAUAUAUCUUGAAUACCGUAGAGGUAAGCGGAAUGUGUCAUGUAGCGGUGAAAUGCUUAGAUAUGACAGGGAACACCAAUUGCGAAGGCAGCUUACUAUGCGGUGAUUGACACUGAGGCACGAAAGCGUGGGUAGCAAACA